rnacentral:rRNA from 1 species
CACGUAGGGGACGAGCGUUGUCCGGAUUCAUUGGGCGUAAAGCGCGCGUAGGCGGCUCGGAAAGUCGGUCGUGAAAUGCCGGGGCUCAACCCCGGGACUGCGUCCGAUACUUCCGGGCUGGAGGUAGGUAGGGGAGAUCGGAAUUCCUGGUGUAGCGGUGAAGUGCGCAGAUAUCAGGAGGAACACCGGUGGCGAAGGCGGAUCUCUGGGCCUUACCUGACGCUGAGGCGCGAAAGCUAGGGGAGCGAACAGG